GACGAACGCUGGCGGCGUGCUUAACACAUGCAAGUCGAACGGAAAGGCCCUGCUUUUGUGGGGUGCUCGAGUGGCGAACGGGUGAGUAACACGUGAGUAACCUGCCCUUGACUUUGGGAUAAAUUCAGGAAACUGGGGCUAAUACCGGAUAGGAGCUCCUGCUGCAUGGUGGGGGUUGGAAAGUUUCGGCGGUUGGGGAUGGACUCGCGGCUUAUCAGCUUGUUGGUGGGGUAGUGGCUUACCAAGGCUUUGACGGGUAGCCGGCCUGAGAGGGUGACCGGCCACAUUGGGACUGAGAUACGGCCCAGACUCCUACGGGAGGCAGCAGUGGGGAGUAUUGCACAAUGGGCGGAAGCCUGAUGCAGCAACGCCGCGUGCGGGAUGACGGCCUUCGGGUUGUAAACCGCUUUCGCCUGUGACGAAGCGUGAGUGACGGUAAUGGGUAAAGAAGCACCGGCUAACUACGUG
rnacentral:rRNA from 1 species